AGUGAACGCUGGCGGUAGGCCUAACACAUGCAAGUCGAACGGCAGCACAGUAAGAGCUUGCUCUUACGGGUUGCGAGUGGCGGACGGGUGAGGAAUACAUCGGAAUCUACUUUUUCGUGGGGGAUAACGUAGGGAAACUUACUCUAAUACCGCAUACGACCUACGGUUGAAAGCAGGGGAUCUUCGGACCUUGCGCGAUUGAAUGAGCCGAUGUCGGAUUAGCUGGUUGGCGGGGUAAAGGCCCACCAAGGGGACGAUCCGUAGCUGGUGUGAGAGGAUGAUAAGCCACCCUGGAACUGAGACAGGGUCAAGACUACUACGAGACGCAGCAGUGGGGAAUAUUGAACAAUGGGCGGAAGCCUGAUCCAGCCAUAGCGCGUGGGUGAAGAAGGCCUUCGGGUUGUAAAGCCCUUUUGUUGGGAGAGAAAAGCAGCAGGUUAAUACCACGCUGUUCUGACGGUAACCAAAGAAUAAGCACCGGCUAACUUCGUG
rnacentral:rRNA from 1 species